rnacentral:rRNA from 1 species
AAUUUGUAAUCUGGCACUUUCAGUGUCCGCCUUUUAAUCUCGAGAAGUAUUUUCCGCGCCGGACCGCAUACCAUUCUGUUGGAAUACAGCGUCAUAGUGGUGAGAACCCCGUAACUGAUGCGGAUGCCCGGUGCUUUGUGAUAUACUUUCGAAGAGUCGAGUUGUUUGGGAAUGCAGCUCAAAUUGGGUGGUAAAUUCCAUCUAAAGCUAAAUAUUGGAGCAAGACCGAUAGCGAACAAGUACCGUGAGGGAAAGAUGAAAAGCACUUUGGAAAGAGAGUUAACAGUACGUGAAAUUGUUGGAAGGGAAACGCUUGAAGUCAGACUUGCUAUUCGGAGUUCAGCCGCAAGGUGUAUUCUUCGAUUUGCAGGCCAGCAUCAGUUUUUGGGGGUGGAAAAUCGUGGUUUGAAGGUAGCAGUUUCGGCUGUGUUAUAGCUUUCCACUGGAUUCAUCUUCGGGGACUGAGGAACGCAGUACGCUUUUUGCAAGGCUUUCGAGCUUUUCGUACUUAGGAUGCUGGUGGAAUGGCUUUAAACGACCCGUCUU